AGAGUUUGAUCAUGGCUCAGAUUGAACGCUGGCGGAAUGCUUUACACAUGCAAGUCGAACGGCAGCACGGACUUCGGUCUGGUGGCGAGUGGCGAACGGGUGAGUAAUAUAUCGGAACGUAUCCAAUAAUGGGGGAUAACUAAUCGAAAGGUUGGCUAAUACCGCAUACGCCCUACGGGGGAAAGCUAGGGACCUUCGGGCCUGGCGUUAAUGGAGCGGCCGAUAUCUGAUUAGCUAGUUGGUGAGGUAAAGGCUCACCAAGGCGACGAUCAGUAGCUGGUCUGAGAGGACGACCAGCCACACUGGAACUGAGACACGGUCCAGACUCCUACGGGAGGCAGCAGUGGGGAAUUUUGGACAAUGGGCGAAAGCCUGAUCCAGCCAUUCCGCGUGAGUGAAGAAGGCCUUCGGGUUGUAAAGCUCUUUCGCGAGGGAAGAAAGAUUACUCUCUAGCAUAGAGUAAUUAUGACGGUACCUUGAUAAGAAGCACCGGCUAACUACGUGCCAGCAGCCGCGGUAAUACGUAGGGUGCGAGCGUUAAUCGGAAUUACUGGGCGUAAAGCGUGCGCAGGCGGUUUUGUAAGUCAGAUGUGAAAUCCCCGAGCUCAACUUGGGAACUGCGUUUGAAACUACAAGACUAGAAUAUGUCAGAGGGGGGUAGAAUUCCACGUGUAGCAGUGAAAUGCGUAGAGAUGUGGAGGAAUGCCAAUGGCGAAGGCAGCCCCCUGGGAUAAUAUUGACGCUCAUGCACGAAAGCGUGGGGAGCAAACAGGAUUAGAUACCCCGGUAGUCC
rnacentral:rRNA from 1 species